rnacentral:misc_RNA from 1 species
UACGGAGGGUGCAAGCGUUAAUCAGAAUUACUGGGCGUAAAGCGCGAGUAGGCGGCAAGCUAAGUUGGGUGUGAAAGCACCGGGCUCAACCUGGGAACGGCAUUCAACACUGGCUAGCGCGAGUACAGCAGAGGAUAGUGGAAUUUCCGGUGUAGCGGUGAAAUGCGUAGAGAUCGGAAGGAACACCAGUGGCGAAGGCGACUGUCUGGGCUGAUACUGACGCUGAGGUGCGAAAGCGUGGGGAGCAAACAGG